rnacentral:rRNA from 1 species
GACGAAGGUGGCAAGCGUUUGUUCGGAAUCACUGGGCAUAAAGCGCGCGUAGGCGGCUUGUCACGUCGGGUGUGAAAGCCCGGGGCUUAACCCCGGGUCUGCAUUCGAUACGGGCUAGCUAGAGUGUGGUAGGGGAGAUCGGAAUUCCUGGUGUAGCGGUGAAAUGCGCAGAUAUCAGGAGGAACACCGGUGGCGAAGGCGGUGGUCUGGGCCGGCACUGACGCUGAGGAGCGAAAGCGUGGGUAGCAAACAGG